rnacentral:rRNA from 1 species
CGGGUGAGUAACACGUAUGCAACCUGCCCUUGUCAGGGGGACAACCCACCGAAAGGUGGGCUAAUCCCGCGUACAUCCCCCGGGGGCAUCCCCGGGGGAGGAAAGGCUUUAGCCGGACAAGGAUGGGCAUGCGGCGCAUUAGUUAGUUGGCGGGGUAACGGCCCACCAAGGCGACGAUGCGUAGGGGUUCUGAGAGGAAGGCCCCCCACACUGGUACUGAGACACGGACCAGACUCCUACGGGAGGCAGCAGUGAGGAAUAUUGGUCAAUGGCCGAAGGGCUGAACCAGCCAAGCCGCGUGAGGGAUGAAGGUACAGAGUAUCGUAAACCUCUUUUGUCAGGGAACAAAAAGGAGGACGCGUCCUCCGCUGAGUGUACCUGAAGAAAAAGCAUCGGCUAACUCCGUG